CACGUAGGGCGCAAGCGUUGUCCGGAAUUAUUGGGCGUAAAGAGCUCGUAGGCGGUCUGUUACGUCUGCUGUGAAAACCCAGGGCUUAACCCUGGGCUUGCAGUGGAUACGGGCAGACUAGAGGCAGGUAGGGGAGAAUGGAAUUCCCGGUGUAGCGGUGAAAUGCGCAGAUAUCGGGAGGAACACCGGUGGCGAAGGCGGCGCUCUGGGCCGGUACUGACGCUGAGGAGCGAAAGCGUGGGGAGCAAACAGG
rnacentral:rRNA from 1 species